UCGAAUUAGCCUAUAAGCCCGAAGCCCGAGUCGAUUCUUGGGCCGGUCGGUCGAUCCUAAAUGCUAAUAAAAUAGCCCGAUCGGUCGAUUAAAUAUUUGAGCGUCAUAUCAAUAACCUGAUUUAUACGCGUUUUUAAGAAGCACGUUUAAAUUUGCUAUUUAAAUGCCUAAAAUGACGUUUUAAAGCAUGCGGCCGCCAUUUUUCUAAACUGUCGUGUAAGCAUCCGGGUAUGUUGCUAUUUAAAGUAAUGAUGCAAUUGACGCCCAACCAAGAUGAGGUUAUUCAAACUGAACAUGUGUAGAUCACGUUCCGGGAUGUUCGCGCAUCGGGCACUUCGUAAUGUUUUAAAAUAAUGACCAAUCUAGAAGCGUAUUUAAUUUGAGAAGCGUUUUCCGAAAAUGUAUUUAUAAUUCAUGAAAAAUGGACAAGUAAUUUUUUCAAUAAAAAUUAAAGAGUCUGUAAGGGAUAUUGUACGCAUUGGGUUAAAACAAAUUGAUACUUAUUACAGGAUGAAAUCCUCUCGAUGCAGCUGCAUUUGCUAUGGAAUCCCCUGCACUGCUGUAUGCGGCCCUUGCCAAACUGAAAACAGUGACAAUCCAAACAAUUUACAAGAGGUCUGUACUGAAGACGAGGAGGACGACAACGACAGUUUUAACGGUCUCGCUCCGAGACCAAUGUCAUGGCCAAAAGUGAUUGUGCAUCAGGUGAUAGUAGACAGCUAAAUGCCAUAAAUUGAUUUCCACGAUGUUUCAACUGCUUAGUGAUGUCAACAAAUCAAAGUGUUCCUUGUCUCCAAAACUAUGGCGUUUGACAUACAAAUCAUCACCUUUAAGUCAAACUGUACGGAUUUGUUGUUCUUCUUAUUGUGGCGGUGGCUAUUUUUGAAUUUUAGUAUAAAUUAAAAAACUUACACUAUGUCUGAUGAUUUUAAAGUGUUGUUCGACCCCCAAUCCUACUACAUAGUUAUGAUCAUAAAUAGAUUUUGGCGGCCAUCUUAAAAGAAAAAAAAUCCGGAGGUCAGAUUUCGAUAAACUUUUGAUGUUAUAAAGUACCUUCUACCCUUCCAGGUUCAGUCAAAAUUCCUUUUGUAGCAAUUUUUGGGGGGUCAAAGUGUAUAUUGACCUGACUAAUCCAACACUCUUCAAGGGACAAUAAAAUAACAAAAGAUUCAUGCAUUUUUUAUUUCAAAACCCAGUUCAUGUGCUGUGUUAUAUAAAAGAACUGUAAGAUAUAAAACGCUGUUUAAUAGUUUUUUAGUAAGUUAAGAUUUGCAAGAAAUAAAGUUCAUGAUUAAAACGUACAUCAAGCAUACGCAUGAGUAAAACCUUAACUAGAAAAACACAAAUUAUGAACAACAGACACGAAUGCACUUGUUUGUGGGUUUGAAGUUUUGUUCAAUCGACUACUGUUGUUUACAAGCAAAUUUGAACACCAAAUCUAUAUGAAUAAUCUCAAACAGAAAUUUUGCACAUUUGGUUCACGUUUUGAUGGCAAAUUACUAUGCCGCAAUUUUUAACAGAUUUUAAUCAAAAACUCAGAAAUGCAAAUUUAAAUAGAUGUGGUGUCAAAUUGGUUUUACACAAAGGAUUAGAUUACAUGUAGACACUGUAAGCGGCAGACUAUUGCCUCCCUCCUUCUGUCUGUAUCAAGGUCUCCUAACUGCGAGGUAUGGUCGGACAGUAGUCAGACAAGAAGGGUCAGGGCUGACGACUGGUUGGUAGGCAACUAGGAGGCAAUAGCAGGUGUAUUUGUAAACAUUGAUGACAACUCAUUGUACAUUCACUGGGAACGCAUCACAAGUAAAAAUUGCAAUACAUUCUUCUUCUGCAUGAUCUCUUUGUUUUGUGGUUGGAUUUGCAGCAGUCAAGUUGUGGAAGGAUUCCCAGUGAAGACUGUUAUACAGGUAUAAAUAACAAAAUUGUGUACCUGCAAGACAUACAUUGUUCAGAAAACAAGUCAUUUGCUUAUGUAUCAUUAACAAUAGAGCACUAAAAAUACAAAAUGACGCAUUUUCUGAACUGUUGUUCCUGAAAACAUUUUGUUUUCAUGAACACUUAAAUACCAUUUAAGAAUAGUAAUAGGUCUUAAAUGAGCAAAGUAAGAAUGACUCUUAACAUAACCAGUUCUUGUCUUUAAUAUCAAAUGGCAUUUAAAGUUUGCCUAAAUUAACAUUCGAUUCUGGGCUCUUUCCAGAAUGUUAAUUUAGGCUUAAUCAUUGCUCUUCAAUGGUGUUUCAUUUUGUUUACAAACUUGGCACACAGAAAUUCAAGGGGUAAAAACAAACAUGCCUUCUGAACACGAGGUUUUGGUUUGUAAUUGGUACAAUGAUCAAAUACAGGCAAGUUUAUUUAUACCCCUUGAAUGGCACCAUUCUUUUUUAGCAGAUAUACCAACUCCAAUAGUUCAGUAAAUUUCGCUUUAUCAUAUAAAAUAAAUACAUUUUACCUUAUCUUUAAGAGUUGGUCAAUUUACAAUUGGUUCACACACAGUUUAUUUUGACACAAAA